CCCUUGAAUCAUAGCUAAACACUCACACCAAAUUCUCUAAUCUUCUCUCUUAAUCUCCUAAUUCUUUCCUCUCUUUCUCUUGCUUUUACACUGCCACCACCAAACACCACCUCCACCACCACCUGCCGCCAACGCCAAACCACCGCCGUCGGCUACCACCAGGGUGUGUUUGACAAGAGUGAUUGAAGUUCAUUUUUAUGCUGCUAGCAAGGAUCAAAGUGUUGACUAUUUUCAGGUGGAGUCAGUAAUUGAGCAUAUGGGUGUCCCAGGAUAUGCUUCACCUAGAUCUAGGAAUGUUGGUCUUUGUUUCUAUUUUGAAUACUCAUAACAUUGGUUACUAUUUUCAUUAAUAAAGAAAGAGUUUGAGUUUC